rnacentral:tRNA from 1 species
GAGGGCAGAGCUCAGUGGUAGAGCACGUGCUUAGCAUGCAAGAGGUCCUGGGUUCAGUCCUCAGUCCCUCU